AGUGAAAGGUGAAGAGGUGAGAGGUCAGGAGGUGUUACCUGUACGUCAGUGAAAGGUAAAGAGGUGAGAGGUCAGGAGGUGUUACCUGUACUCAGUGAAAGGUGAAGAGGUGAGAGGUCAGGAGGUGUUACCUGUACGUCAGUGAAAGGUGAGAGGUCAGGAGGUGUUACCUGUACGUCAGUGAAAGGUGAGAGGUCAGGAGGUGUUACCUGUACGUCAGUGAAAGGUGAGAGGUCAG